rnacentral:rRNA from 1 species
AGUGAACGCUGGCGGUAGGCCUAACACAUGCAAGUCGAACGGCAGCACAGUAAGAGCUUGCUCUUACGGGUGGCGAGUGGCGUACGUAUGAGGAAUACAUCGGAAUCUACUUUUUCGUGGGGGAUAACGUAGGGAAACUUACGCUAAUACCGCAUACGACCUACGGUUGAAAGCAGGGGAUCUUCGGACCUUGCGCGAUUGAAUGAGCCGCUGUCGGAUUAGCUAGUUGGCGGGGUAAAGGCCCACCAAGGCGACGAUCCGUAGCUGGUCUGAGAGAAUGAUCAGCAGCACUGGAACUGGGACAGGGUCCAGACUCCUACGGGAGGCAGCAGUGGGGAACAUUGGACAAUGGGCGCAAGCCUGAUCCAGUGAUACCGAGUCGGUGAAGAAGGCCUUCGGGUUGUAAAGACCUUUUGUUGGGAAAGAAAAGCAGCAGGUUAAUACCCCGCUGUUCUGACGGUACCCAAAGAAUAAGCACCGGCUAACUUCGUG